rnacentral:lncRNA from 1 species
GAGCACCUUGGCGGAAAUAAGUGCACCGGUGUCAUAAUUACAUUGACACCGUUCCAUCCAAAACAAAGAUGUCAAGCAUAUGUUCUUAUAAUUGAGGUAAUUAUUUUCCUUUUAAUCACUUUGUUGCGGCUUUAAUGCAGUUUAGCUUUUUGAAUUAACGUCACCUUUACGUAAAUAUGUUUAUUGUAUUCUUAUAGACACGCACUUACACGUGUAUGGGAUGUGUCUAUUCUUUAGCUGUUUAAUUGCUUCAGUUAAAGGGUCAUAGGAUUGAGACCAUUCUGGGCCCUCGUGGGCCCUCGCCUUGGCGAAUUUAGAUGAUAAGAUCACCCCCCGGUACUUAUUUUUAAGUGUGGAAUUUAUAUAUAUAUAUAUGUGUGUGUGUGCGUGUACUGUAUAUAUGUGUGAGCAUACAGCAUACCAAUUUCUUUACUAUCGGCAAGGGGCUAAACAUAGAAGGGACGAACAAGGACAGACAAAGGGAUUAAGUCGAUUAUAUCGACCCCAGUGCGUAACUGGUACUUAUUUAAUCGACCCCGAAAGGAUGAAAGGCAAAGUCGACCUCGGCAGAAUUUGAACUCAGAAUGUAAAGACAGACGAAAUACCUAUUUCUUUACUACCCACAAGGGGCUAAACACAGAGGAGACAAACAAGGACAGACAAACCGAUUAAGUCGAUUACAUCGAUCCCAGUGCGUAACUGGUACUUAAUUUAUCGACCCCGAAAGGAUGAAAGGCAAAGUCGACCUCGGCAGAAUUUGAACUCAGAACGUAACGGCAGGCGAAAUACCGCUAAGCAUUUCUCCCGGCGUGCUAACGAUUCUGCCAGAUCGCCUCCCUCUGUGCACACAGCAUACCGCCAAAGGUGUGCCUCAUAAUUAUCAAAAUGUGUAAAUGGUGACAACAAUUGCAGCGUUGAAGGUGUUUAUAAGCCAUUUAAGAAACACACAAAACCCGUUAGAUUAAUUUCAACAUUUAAAUUUCAUUUGUCAAAAUAUUGGUACUACUUGGGAACAGUGGUCCCAGUGCGCGCAUCUGCGCUAGGUAGUCGAUCAUACAGCGACUACCUAGCAAAGUAAAUAAAACACCAAAACAAAGUAAAUAAAACAAAAACACAAAGUAAGGAUCGACUAGUCAUGACUAGCUGGCUUGGAUGCGUGAGUACGAGAGUGCUCGCACCGGGACCACUCUUUUUAAGUAGUAACCGGCUUAUAAACACCUUCCUCAGAUCAGGUCACUUGCUAUGCAAGUACAUCUCUGUAAAUUAAGGUUAUCUGAAAAAGAAAAGUAGUGAGCAAGCAUACAUACGUAGUGACAUGUAUCACAAUUUCUUUUGAAAUUUCGGGUUUCAUUUUGUAAACAUCUGUGAUGUGUCAGUAUAUAUGUGUACGAGGCUAUAAAAUUUAUAUUUUCAUAUUGAAUUCAGAUGUAAUCGUAAUCUACACGUUUCUGAAAUUUAUUUAUAGAAAAUUUCGGUUCACAUGGCGAUGUAAACGGAACCCUUCCCCCCCACUUUAAUUUUUCUUUUUUUAAGGAAUCCCUCGUCUUAGGCUAUAGAGAUUCCGAUUUUGAUUUUAAAAAUUUCAAAACUCGCAACUUCAAACUUUCAAUUCCUCCCCCAUUUACUCUUUUACUUGUUUCAGUCAUUUGACUGCGGCCAUGCUGGAGCACCGCCUUUAGUCGAGCAAAUCGACCCCAGGACUUAUUCUUUGUGAGCCCAGUACUUAUUCUAUCGGUCUUUUUAGCCGAACCGCUAGAUGACAGGGACGUAAACACACCAACAUCGGUUGUCAAGCAAUGCUAGGGGGACAAACGCACACACACACAUGUAUAUAUAUAUAUAUAUAUAUAUAUAUAUAUAUAUAUACACAUAUAUACGACAGGCUUCUUUCAGUUUCCGUCUCCAAAAUCCACUCACAAGGCAUUGGUCGGCCCGAGGCUAUAGUAGAAGACACUUGUCCAAGGUGCCACGCAGUGGGACUGAACCUGGAACCAUGUGGCUGGUAAGCAAGCUACUUACCACACAGCCACUCCUGCGCCUAUGAUUCUGAAAAAAAAAUUGUUUGUAAAAUUUCAAUUUUUCCAAAAAAAAAAAUAAUAAAUUACCCCCAAUCCCCUCCCCUCCCGAUUCUACGGCCUUGGUCAUUCACAUGCUAGAAAUAACAACCAAAUCUCACAAAACUGCGAUGACAUUAUGAAAGAAAUAUGUAAUCAAUCUACUCAGCUUUCUGCAAAGAUUUCUUUCACAGUAAUUUCCCGCAAUACUAUGACAAAGUGAAAUUAAAGUGUUCAUUUGAGGAAAUAUUGAAGCAGGAGUGGCUGUGUGGUAAGUAGCUUGCUAACCAACCACAUGGUUCCAGGUUCAGUCCCACUGCGUGGCAUCUUGGGCAAGUGUCUUCUGCUAUAGUCCCGGGACGACCAAUGCCUUGUGAGUGGAUUUGGUAGACGGAAACUGAAAGAAGCCUGUCGUAUAUAUGUAUAUAUAUAUGCGUAUGUGUGUCUGUGUUUGUCCCCCUAGCAUUGCUUAACAACCGAUGCUGGUGUGUUUACGUCCCUGUUACUUAGCGGUUCGGCAAAAGAGACCGAUAGAAUAAGUACUGGGCUUACAAAGAAUAAGUCCCGGGGUCGAUUUGCUCGACUAAAGGCGGUGCUCCAGCAUGGCCGCAGUCAAAUGACUGAAACAAGUAAAAGAGUAAAGAGCUUGCUCCAGAGAAAAUAAUGGAUUUUUUUAAAAACAAACGGCAUUAUUGCCACAAGUAAAACGUGUUUUGCACGCACACGAUAUAAAUGAACACCUUAAUUUCACUUUUUUGAAAUUUUGAAGUUGUAAUUUUUGAAAAAAAUUUUUCAGAAUCGGAAACUGAAAGAAGCCCAUUAUUUACAUUAUUUACAUUUCAUGGAUAUUUGUCCUCAUCUUGUUUGUUGUUAACACAAUGUUUCAGCUGAUAUACCCUCCAGCCUUCUUCAGGUGUCUUGGGGGAAAUUUCAAACCUAGGUCCUCAUUCCUCAGGUAUUUUUCAAUGUUAUUAAUAUUGUUAUUGUUCAGGUCAUAUGGUGUAGUGGUUAAGAGCGCGGGCUACUAACCCCAAGAUUCCGAGUUCGAUUCCAAGCAGUGACCUGAACAAUAACAAUAAUAAUAAUAACAUAACAUUGAAAAAUACCUUAGGACUGUGAACCCAGGUUCGAAAUUUCUCCAAGACACCUGAAGAAGGCUGGAGGGUAUAUCAGCUGAAACGUUGUGUUAACAACAAACAAGAUGAGGACAAAUAUCCAUCAAAUGUAAAUAAUGUAAAUAAUAGGCGCAGGAGUGGCUGUGUGGUAAGUAGCUUGCUAACCAACCACAUGGUUCCGGGUUCAGUCCCACUGCGUGGCACCUUGGGCAAGUGUCUUCUACUACAGCCUCGGGCCGACCAAAGCCUUGUGAGUGGAUUUGGUAGACAGAAACUGAAAGAAGCCUGUCGUAUAUAUGUAUAUGUGUUUGUCCCCUAGCAUUGCUUGACUAUCGAUGUUGGUGUGUUUACGUCCCCGUCACUUAGCGGUUCGGCAAAAGAGACCGAUAGAAUAAGUACAGGGCUUACAAAGAAUAAGUCCCGAGGUCGAUUUGCUCGACUAAAGGCAGUGCUCCAGCAUGGCCGCAGUCAAAUGACUGAAACAAGUAAAAGAGUAAAGAGUAAUUCCUCAUCUCUUAAAUAUAGAACUUUAUGAAAGAAGCCCAUGAUGUGUGUAUAUAUUAUAUGUGUAUAUAUAUAUAUUUGUGUGUCUGUGCACCAUCACUUGACAACCAAUGCUGGUGUGUUUACACCCCCAUAACUUAGCGGUUCAGCAAAGUGACCAAUAGAAUAAGUACUAGGCUUACAAAGAAUAAGUCCUGGGGUUGAUUCGUUCGACUAAAGGUGGUGCUCCAGCAUGGCCGCAAUUUGCAAUGUUUUACCAAAAAGAAUUACAAAGGUCACUAACUGUGACUAGGUUCUUAGGAAACACCUACGUUGCUAGAAAUAAGAGCUAAACCACUCUUAUCUAUGUAUAUCUUUUGCCUCUUCUUUGUUCUAAUCACAGGACUGCGGCCAAGCUGGGGCAUCAGAUUGAAAGGUUUAGUUGAAUGAAUUGACCCCAGUACUUUUUGUAAGCUUGGUAAUUAUUCUGUCAGUUACUUUCCACCGAACUGCUAAGUUGUAGGGAUGUAAACAAACCAACCCCAGUUGUCAAGCAGUGGUAGUAGACAAACGCACACACAUAUCCAUAUAUGUACAUAUACACACACAUACACACACACUACAGGUUUCUUUCAGUUUCCAUCUGCUAAAUCCACUCACACGGUUUUGGUCAGCUUGAGUCUGUAGUAGAAGACACUUGCCUAAGGUACCACGAAGUGGAACUGAACCCGAAACCAUGCAAUUAAGAAGCACACUUGGAAGCUAACCUGGAGAUAACACUAUUAAGUUCAUCUACGGGUACAGGCUAUCAGACAACUAGAAAUGUAGAGGUUGUUUUAUCAAAUCCAUGUCUGAUAAUCUACAAAUAUCAACAGAGUUUUUACAAUAAUAACAAGAAGAAUGGAGUCAGCAAAUUUUUUUAUUACAUCAGUUGACAUCUUGCUUGUAUAUAUCAUCAUCAUCAUCAACAUUUAUCUUCCAUAUUUCUUUCUGGCAUGGGUUGGACAGUUUGAUAGGAACUGAUGUGUCCAAGGGCUGCACCAAGCUAUAAACAUAUAAAUAUAUAUAUCAUCAUCAUCAUCGUUUAAUGUCUGCUUACCAUGCUCGCAUGGGUUGGACAGUUUGACUGAUGUCUGGCAAACCAGAUGGCUGCACCAGGCUCCAAUCUUGAUUUGGCAGAGUUUCUACAGCUGGAUGCCCUUCCUAAGGCCAACCACUCCGAGAGUGUAGUGGGUGCUUUUUGCGUGCCACCAGCAUGGGGGCCAGUCAGGUGGUACUGGCAAUGAACUCGCUCAAAUCUUCCUACACAUGCCACCGGCACAGGUGCCAGUAAGGCGACAGAACAUAACACGCAGCCCAGUCCAGGAAUCGAACUCACAACCUCACAAUCGUAAGCUCGAUGCUCUAACUACUGAACCAUGCACCUUCACACACACACACACAUAUAUAUAUAUAUAUAUAUAUAUAUAUAUAUCGUGCCGGUGGUACGUAAAAAGCACCGUUUGCCAGCCUUGUCUGGCACGUAAAAAGCACCCACUACACUCAUGGAGUGGUUGGCAUUAGGAAGGGCAUCCAGCUGUAGAAACAUUGCCAGAUCAGACUGGGCCUGGUGCAGCCUUCUGGCUUCACAGACCCCAGUUGAACCGUCCAACCCAUGCUAGCAAGGAGAACGGACGUUAAAAGAUGAUGAUGAUGAUAUAUAUAUAUAUAUUUUAUUUAUACAUACACUCUCACACACAUAUACAACAUGAGCUUCUCUCAGUUUCCAUCUACCAAAUCCACUCUCAAGGCUUUAGUUGGCCCAAGGUAAUAGUAGAAGACACUUGCCCAAGGUGCCAUGCAGUGGGACUGAACCUAGAACCAUGUGGCUGGUAAGCAAGCUACUUACGACACUUACUAUGUAUUUCACAAAUGAAUUAUCUGUUCACAGCAAACCCCUCUCUAUUUCUCUCCCUUUUUUCUCUUUUUCAGCUACCAUGUGUUCUUGUGUUCCUUAAUUAAAAACCAGUUUAAAUUUCUCGACCAUUUUCCCCCUAUUCUUCAGGUAAGUACUUCCUGCUUUGUAUGCUCCCUGUUACCUUGAAUUAUUAAACAGUUACCCUGUCUUAAAUGGAGAUUUAUUUACCAGAAAACUCCAGGUAUUUGUAAGGAAAUAUUUCUGUAUCAGCCAUAACAUCAUCAUUCUUCAUCAUCAUCAUCAUUUUGUUUUAACUCUUUACUUGUUUUAGUCAUUUGACUGUGGCCAUGCUGGAGCACCGCCUUUAGUCGAGCAAAUCUACCCCAGGACUUAUUCUUUGUAAGCCUAGUACUUAUUCUAUUGGUCUCUUUUGCCGAACCGCUAAGUUACAGAGACGUAAACACACCAGCUUCAGUUGUCAAGAGAAUUCACAAAAAAAACAAGAGGAAGACAGGUGGUGUAGACGACAAACAGAUGUAUUAGUAUAACGCUCAGGAAGUGAAAAAGUCUUUGACGUUUCAAGCCUACGCUCUUCCACAGAAAAGCAGAAAGUACGAAAAAAAGUUUAGAAAGUAUAAAAAAAGUUACGAAAAUUUCAGACGUCGCGGUGUAUUGGAGCAAUUUUUCAUCCAGUGUAAUCCAUGGGAAGGAGAGGUGGAGCUGGAGUGUAGUGGAAAGUCCAGUAGAAGUUGGUGGGUGACGAGAGGAGACAGGGUCAACUGGUGCAACCAUGUGAGCGUGUAAUAUAUGGGGAGAAUUCAGAAAAAAAACAAAAGACAAUAUAUAUAUAUAUAUAUAAACGGCAGUUUGUCUGUCUGUGUGUCUGUCAGGUUGUACCCUCACCCUUCGAUAAAUUCGACAUGGGGUCGAGAAUCAGAAACACAAACCGCAAACUGUCUAGGGGACGCAACUCCACCUUUUUAACUCUCAAAAAAAAAAAUUUACCAUAAUUUUUUUUCCAUAUUUUGGCUAUUUUUUGGCUAUAACUCUCUAAAAAUGCUUUAUAGUUAUUUCCCUUACAAACCUGAGCAACGCCGGGCGAUACUGCUAGUAUAUAUAUAUAGGCGUAGGAGUGGCUGUGUGGUAAGUAGUUUGCUUACGAACUAUAUGGUUCCAGGUUCAGUCCCACUGUGUGGCACCUUGGGCAAAUGUCUUCUACUAUAGCCUCAGGCCGACCAAAGCCUUGUGAGUGGAUUUGGUAGACAGAAACUGAAAGAAGCCCGUCGUAUAUAUGUAUAUGUAUGUGUGUAGGUUCGCUUGACAACCGAUGCUGGUGUAUUUAUGUCUCUGUAACUUAGCGGUUCGGUAAAAGAGACGGAUAGAAUAAGUACUGGACUUACAAAGAAUAAGUCCUGGGAUCAAUUUUCUCGACUAAAGGUGGUGCUCCAGCAUGGCCGCAGUCAUAUGACUGAAACAAGUAAAAGAGUAUAUAUAUAUAUAACAGGCUUCUUUCAGUUUCUUUUUUCUUUACUGCCCACAAGGGGCUACGCACAGAGGGGACAAAACAAGGACAGGCAAAUGGCUGAAAGAAGUAAAAGAGUAAAAGAAAAGAUUUAUGUGUGUGUGUGUGUGUGGAGGAUGGAUGGCCCAAGGUGGGAUCUAAAACCCCUGUAACCACACAUUUAGAAAGUUCUUAACUACACAUACAUCUGACGUUCUACUAAAUUUCCUUAUUCCAUGUCUGUCAUCUUUUUUGCUGUCUUUUGUUAAAGGUAUCCCAAAGUGAGGUGACAGACCAACCUUAAUUCAACAGGAUGAAGACCAAUGAACAGCCAGGUCACAGACGCCUGGAACAGAGCAACACGGACGAUGAGCUGAAAGAUUCCAACAAGGAAGAGGAUAUUCGAGCGAAACUUUGCAAAAGGAGUUUCUCAUCUACGAUCUCCAAUGUCGUCAUCAACAUCAUCCUCGCUCUCAUGUUUGCGGCUCUGAUCUUGUCUUUUUUACCAAUGGUGUUGUGAGAUGGGAAUAAAUAUUUGGGGGUGACAAACAGUGUUACAGGGACUGAAUAAAUUAUGAGGGUAAAAAUACAGGUUUU